rnacentral:rRNA from 1 species
UACCAGCACCCCGAGUGGUCGGGACGUUUAUUGGGCCUAAAGCAUCCGUAGCCGGUUCUACAAGUCUUCCGUUAAAUCCACCUGCUCAACAGAUGGGCUGCGGAAGAUACUAUGGAGCUAGGAGGCGGGAGAGGCAAGCGGUACUCGAUGGGUAGGGGUAAAAUCCGUUGAUCCAUUGAAGACCACCAGUGGCGAAGGCGGCUUGCCAGAACGCGCUCGACGGUGAGGGAUGAAAGCUGGGGGAGCAACCGGG